CAGCACCUCAAGUGGUCAGGAUGAUUAUUGGGCCUAAAGCAUCCGUAGCCGGCGCUGUAAGUUUUCGGUUAAAUCUGUACGCUCAACGUACAGGCUGCCGGGAAUACUGCAGAGCUAGGGAGUGGGAGAGGUAGACGGUACUCGGUAGGAAGAGGUAAAAUCCUUUGAUCUAUUGAUGACCACCUGUGGCGAAGGCGGUCUACCAGAACACGUCCGACGGUGAGGGAUGAAAGCUGGGGGAGCAAACCGGAUUAGAUACCCGAGUAGUCC
rnacentral:rRNA from 1 species